UACAGAGGAUGCAAGCGUUAUCCGGAAUGAUUGGGCGUAAAGCGUCUGUAGGUGGCUUUUUAAGUCCGCCGUCAAAUCCCAGGGCUCAACCCUGGACAGGCGGUGGAAACUACCAAGCUGGAGUACGGUAGGGGCAGAGGGAAUUUCCGGUGGAGCGGUGAAAUGCGUAGAGAUCGGGAGGAACACCGGCGGCGAAGGCGGCUGCCUGGACCGGCCCUGACGCUGAGGCGCGAAAGCUAGGGGAGCAAACAGG
rnacentral:rRNA from 1 species